UGUGUCUGCCAGCCUUUGAGUCAUGCGCAUAAAGUAGACACCUCGGGUGCAUAGACAAUUCGUGCAGACACUGCAUCAAGUUCAAAAAUCGGAAGAGACGGUAAUGUUAAGACAAGUCACAAAAAAGGACGUAUCCCUCUGAUGCUGAAAACAGAAAGAAGAAAAUGACAGAGGAGGAGAAAAACCAGCAAGAUACAGAGACACUGUUGAAGUUACUUUGGAGCACAUCACUACCUCUACCUAACUCUACCUCAUCAAGUGUCUGCCUCCAUGGCUGAUGACACAGAAGGUUCGUCCACUGCAGUCCACUGCGAGUUGCAGAUGCCUGAAAGCCAGGAACGAAGUAGGAAUAAGUAUCUAUUUUUUGGGACAUUUAAUUUUUGAUUAUUAAUGUUUGUCUAUUUUGGUUUUAUUUUGUAGUUGAAGAUUGC